GGGAACUGGGCCUGUGGCAGUGACUCCUGUGCCCACCAUGGACAUGCUGUGGUCUACUCUCCUGCUGCUGACCUUCCCUUCCUGGGCUCUAUCUCAGGUCACCCUGCAGGAGUCUGGCCCUGGGGUGGUGAGACCCUCUGAGACCCUCACACUGACCUGUUCCUUCUCUGGGUUCUCACUGAGCACUAGUGGUAUGGGUGUUGGCUGGAUCCGUCAGCCCCCUGGGAAGGCACUGGAGUGGCUCACAAAUGUUUGGUGGGAUGAUGAUAAGUAUUACAACCCAUCUCUGAGGAGCAGGCUCACCAUCUCCAAGGACACCUCCAAAAACCAGGUGGUUCUCACAAUGACCAGCAUGGGCCCUGAAGACACAGCCACAUAUUACUGUGCACGGAGGGCACAGAGACACAUCCCAGGGGCCUCCUGUACAAGAACCUGGGUGGGUGUCAGCUGA